rnacentral:rRNA from 1 species
GAUGAACGCUGGCGGCGUGCUUAACACAUGCAAGUCGAACGAUGAACCCGGAGCUUGCUCCGGUGGAUUAGUGGCGAACGGGUGAGUAACACGUGAGUAACCUGCCCUUGACUCUGGGAUAACUGCGGGAAACUGUAGCUAAUACCGGAUACGACCCUCGGCGGCAUCGCCAGGGGGUGGAAAGAAUUUCGGUCAAGGAUGGACUCGCGGCCUAUCAGCUAGUUGGUGAGGUAACGGCUCACCAAGGCGACGAUCCGUAGCUGGUCUGAGAGGACGAUCAGCCCCACUGGGACUGAGACACGGCCCAGACUCCUACGGGAGGCAGCAGUGGGGAAUCUUGCGCAAUGGGCGAAAGCCUGACGCAGCAACGCCGCGUGAGGGAAGAAGGCCUUCGGGUUGUAAACCUCCUUCAGUAGGGACGAAGCUUCCGGGGUUAAUAGCCUACGGGGUGACGGUACCUACAGAAGAAGCCCCGGCUAAC